rnacentral:rRNA from 1 species
UGCCAGACUCCUACGGGAGGCAGCAGUGAGGAAUAUUGGUCAAUGGGCGCGAGUCUGAACCAGCCAAGUAGCGUGAAGGAUGACUGCCCUAUGGGUUGUAAACUUCUUUUAUAAAGGAAUAAAACGAGGCACGUGUGCCUUUUUGCAUGUACUUUAUGAAUAAGGAUCGGCUAACUCCGUGCCAGCAGCCGCGGUAAUACGGAGGAUCCGAGCGUUAUCCGGAUUUAUUGGGUUUAAAGGGUGCGCAGGCGGAAUGUCAAGUCAGCGGUAAAAUUUCGGGGCUCAACCCCGUCGUGCCGUUGAAACUGGCGUUCUUGGGUGAGCGAGAAGUAUGCGGAACGCGUGGUGUAGCGGUGAAAUGCAUAGAUAUCACGCAGAACUCCGAUUGCGAAGGCAGCAUACCGGCGCUCAACUGACGCUCAUGCACGAAAGCGUGGGUAUCGAACAGGAUUAGAUACCCGCGUA